rnacentral:rRNA from 1 species
GACGAACGCUGGCGGCGUGCUUAACACAUGCAAGUCGAACGGAAAGGCCCUGCUUUUGUGGGGUGCUCGAGUGGCGAACGGGUGAGUAACACGUGAGUAACCUGCCCUUGACUUUGGGAUAACUUCAGGAAACUGGGGCUAAUACCGGAUAGGAGCUCCUGCUGCAUGGUGGGGGUUGGAAAGUUUCGGCGGUUGGGGAUGGACUCGCGGCUUAUCAGCUUGUUGGUGGGGUAGUGGCUUACCAAGGCUUUGACGGGUAGCCGGCCUGAGAGGGUGGCCGGCCACAUUGGAACUGAAAUACGUCCCAGACUCCUACGGGAGGCAACGGUGGAGAAUAUUGCACAAUGGGCGGAAGCCUGAUGCAGCAACGCCGCGUGCGGGGUGACGGCCUUCGGGUUGUAAACCGCUUUCGCCUGUGACGAAGCGUGAGUGACGGUAAUUGGUAAAGAAGCACCGGCUAACUACGUG